rnacentral:rRNA from 1 species
GAUGAACGCUGGCGGCGUGCCUAAUACAUGCAAGUCGAGCGAACAGACGAGGAGCUUGCUCCUCUGACGUUAGCGGCGGACGGGUGAGUAACACGUGGAUAACCUACCUAUAAGACUGGGAUAACUUCGGGAAACCGGAGCUAAUACCGGAUAAUAUAUUGAACCGCAUGGUUCAAUAGUGAAAGACGGUUUUGCUGUCACUUAUAGAUGGAUCCGCGCCGCAUUAGCUAGUUGGUAAGGUAACGGCUUACCAAGGCAACGAUGCGUAGCCGACCUGAGAGGGUGAUCGGCCACACUGGAACUGAGACACGGUCCAGACUCCUACGGGAGGCAGCAGUAGGGAGUCUUCCGCAAUGGGCGAAAGCCUGACGGAGCAACGCCGCGUGAGUGAUGAAGGUCUUCGGAUCGUAAAAAUCUGUUAUUAGGGAAGAACAAAUGUGUAAGUAACUAUGCACGUCUUGACGGUACCUAAUCAGAAAGCCACGGCUAACUACGUG